rnacentral:rRNA from 1 species
UACGGGGGGGGUAAGCGUUGUUCGGAAUUACUGGGCGUAAAGCGAGUGUAGGCGGUCCGAAAAGUCAGGUGUGAAAGCCCUGGGCUCAACCCAGGAAGUGCACUUGAAACUGCAUAGCUAGAGUCCUGGAGAGGAAGGUGGAAUGCUUGGUGUAGAGGUGAAAUUCGUAGAUAUCAAGCGGAACACCGGUGGCGAAGGCGGCCUUCUGGACAGUGACUGACGCUGAGACGCGAAAGCGUGGGGAGCAAACAGG